rnacentral:rRNA from 1 species
AUGCCGCGCAAGGCCAUGGCCUCUCUAACCAUGCUCAUUUCUUGGGCAAUUUGGAAUUAAACAAAUGCACGGGUUUUCCGACACAAGAGCACUCCUCCUCCAAUCCUUAUUCAAAAUAUUAAGGCGGAGGCGUUGUUAUGGGUGUCAGCGGGCAAUUGGGUUUAA